AUCUAUGGCCAUAUCACCUUGAACGCACAAGAUCUCAUCUGAUCUCGGAGGCUAAGCAGGGUCCGGCCUGGAUAGUACUUGGAUGAGAGACCGACUGGGAAUACCGGGUGCUGUAGGGU
ensembl:rRNA 5S_rRNA 5S ribosomal RNA